rnacentral:rRNA from 1 species
UAAAAGACUUUAUUUUUAGUACCCCCUGCUCAAUGAUAAUUAAAUAGCCGCAGUUUCCUGUGCUAAGGUAGCAUAAUCAUUUGCCUAAUAAUUAUAGGAUAGAAUGAAAGGUGAAACAUGUUAUCUUCUUUAUUAAAAAGGUUAUUUAAAUUUAUCCUUUAAGUAAAAACGCUUAAAUCUUUAGGGGGACGACAAGACCCUGACGAACUUUAUUCUAUGUUUAGCUGGGGCGGCAAACAAAUCAAACCUUUCACCCCUUUUUCUAAAUUAAACCUAAAAAUGAUAAUCAAGUUACCGCAGGGAUAACAGCAUAAUCCUUUCUAGAAGAUCUUAUAAAAGAAAGAUUUUGUGACCUCGAUGUUGAAUUAAAAAUCUAUCAAAGGCAGCACUCUGAUAAGAAAGUCUGUUCGACUUUUAAAUAUUU